UCAAAUACCACCUUACUUUUUUCUACUCCAUCCAGCUUUUAUAAUAGUUUUUUUAUAUUUUAAAAUCAGGAAGGAUGCCAUUAAUAAGAAAAAAAUUACAGGACUGCAUGACAGACAUGUGUUCUUCCCAGCACAACAAUGCCAGACCCUAAUAAAUGAAAAAUAAAAGCUUUACAAGAAUAAAAAAAAAUUACUUUAAAAAACCCUACACAGACACAAGUAAAGCCUAAACCUAAGAAAAAAACCCAAAC
rnacentral:lncRNA from 1 species